rnacentral:lncRNA from 1 species
AGCUGCUGUUUGGAGCACAAACAUUGGAAUGAUAUUCUUGGGAAUCAAAAAUUAAAAAAAUUAAAAAUGUCCAUUAGCACCAAGGAGCUCAUGGGUUACUCCAUUAGCACCAAGGAGCUCAUUGGUUCUCCAUCUAAACGGAGGCAUGCUGCGCGGUGCUGGGCUGGCUACACUGAGUGGGAUGAUCAUUGCUUUAGAUCAGGUCCAUUAAACUUGCGCAGUGGGUACUCUCAAGCAGCAGGUGCUUGGACCGCUGUUCUGCCAUUGAUGGGGUGCCGGUCGCAUCCUCUGGUGAUGGUUUGCAAAGCUUCUUGGGUGUGGGCUUGAUUAGGCGCAGUGGUGGGCUUUGCUAUUGUGGCAUGUUCCCGCCCAGUACAGGCAUCAUUGCUGUGUGCCUCCUCUGCUGGUGCUGUUGUGGGCCUGCCAGCCUUGGUAUCAUUCUUAUGCUCAUGUGUCCUCUGAGCCAAAGUUAUAGAGGUAACACCUAUAGAAGAGGCCUGUUUAUUAUCGGCUGGGCAUUCAAGAAGUAUUUCAUAGACUCCUGGUUUCUCACAAUGGGUGCCGGGAUUAUUUUCAUUACGGAGAGCAUUGAAAACAGUAAUCAGUCUCUUAGUGGCAAUUCGUCUCCCAGCUUUCCAGGCCACUUUUCUUACUACAUUCAACCUACUAGUGCUAUAUAGGAUAGACAAAAAUUGUUUUUGUUCCAAGUGUUCGUCAGGAGUUGGGUCUUGCUGUUGAAUAGUAUGCACUCUCUUUAUUCUACAUUGGACAUUGCUUAAAAACUUGCUCGAGUAACUGUGGGACCGGCCUCUGAGCCAAAGUUAUAGAGGUAACACCUAUAGAAGAGGCCUGUUUAUUAUCGGC